UCCUCCGACCUUGCUUCCCUCCUCUUUUGUCCCCAACGAGCAAACAGGAAGGAAUGUUUAUUAAUAAGGCUGACUGGGGUCACACCCAAGGCAAUAUCAGGUUUUUACCUCUCCCGGGCUUGGGACAAGGUUCAAGGAUCAAGGCCAGCU
ensembl:misc_RNA